rnacentral:lncRNA from 1 species
AGAGCACCCGGACCCGCGGCGGCAGCGGCAGCGACGCUACCCACCCUCUUCCCCAACACCCACCUAGCCAGCGAGUCACCGAGCCACCGGCCCUCGGGCCGGCGCCUCGGUUCCUGCCCAGCUGGAUUUGGGGGGCAGCAUUGCCUGGCGCAGGGAGAUCAAAUGAGACUGCAAAGAAGCAUAAAAUGAAUAGACAAUCCAACCAACCAAAGGAAAUUGCUUUGGAGAUGAGGAAACAAACUCUUAUGGAUUCUCUUCAGAGGACAAGAGAAGAUGUUACAUUCUCUGCAUGAGGACAAUUCUGCAGCAUCAAAAUCGAAUAAUAUUUGUUUUCUGGCAGCAGAAUUUUGUAUCAUAUUUCUAAAGACAGUAAGCACUUGGGUGGACGUCAAUGAAUACUAAACACUAAUUGAUCUGAUACAGCCGUAUGCACAUACACAGAUAUACAUGGUGGCUUGUAAUGGUUGAAAAAUUACGGUUUGGUUUUAUUAAAAGAUCUGUCACUUUUAGGUCAGAGUGGGAUUUUGGAGGGAUAGUCUCCCACAAUAGAAAACUACCCUGA